rnacentral:rRNA from 1 species
AUUGAACGCUGGCGGCAUGCCUUACACAUGCAAGUCGAACGGCAGCACGGGUGCUUGCACCUGGUGGCGAGUGGCGAACGGGUGAGUAAUACAUCGGAACAUGUCCUGUAGUGGGGGAUAGCCCGGCGAAAGCCGGAUUAAUACCGCAUACGAUCCACGGAUGAAAGCGGGGGACCUUCGGGCCUCGCGCUAUAGGGUUGGCCGAUGGCUGAUUAGCUAGUUGGUGGGGUAAAGGCCUACCAAGGCGACGAUCCGUAGCUGGUCUGAGAGGACGACCAGCCACACUGGGACUGAGACACGGCCCAGACUCCUACGGGAGGCAGCAGUGGGGAAUUUUGGACAAUGGGCGAAAGCCUGAUCCAGCAAUGCCGCGUGUGUGAAGAAGGCCUUCGGGUUGUAAAGCACUUUUGUCCGGAAAGAAAUCCUUGACUCUAAUACAGUCGGGGGAUGACGGUACCGGAAGAAUAAGCACCGGCUAACUACGUG